UGGGGAAUAUUGGACAAUGGGCGCAAGCCUGAUCCAGCCAUGCCGCGUGAGUGAUGAAGGCCCUAGGGUUGUAAAGCUCUUUCACCGGUGAAGAUAAUGACGGUAACCGGAGAAGAAGCCCCGGCUAACUUCGUGCCAGCAGCCGCGGUAAUACGAAGGGGGCUAGCGUUGUUCGGAUUUACUGGGCGUAAAGCGCACGUAGGCGGACUAUUAAGUCAGGGGUGAAAUCCCGGGGCUCAACCCCGGAACUGCCUUUGAUACUGGUAGUCUUGAGUUCGAGAGAGGUGAGUGGAAUUCCGAGUGUAGAGGUGAAAUUCGCAGAUAUUCGGAGGAACACCAGUGGCGAAGGCGGCUCACUGGCUCGAUACUGACGCUGAGGUGCGAAAGCGUGGGGAGCAAACAGG
rnacentral:rRNA from 1 species